rnacentral:rRNA from 1 species
UACGUAGGGGGCAAGCGUUGUCCGGAAUUAUUGGCGUAAAGCGCGCGCAGGCGGUCCUUUAAGUCUUGUGUUUAAUCCCGGGGCUCAACCUCGGUUCGCAUGGGAAACUGGAGGACUGGAGUGCAGGAGAGGAAAGUGGAAUUCCACGUGUAGCGGUGAAAUGCGUAGAGAUGUGGAGGAACACCAGUGGCGAAGGCGACUUUCUGGCCUGUAACUGACGCUGAGGCGCGAAAGCGUGGGGAGCAAACAGG